GCCGGGCGUGGUGGCUCACGCUUGUAAUCCCAGCACUUUGGGAGGCCGAGACGGGCGGAUCACGAGGUCAGGAGAUCGAGACCAUCCUGGCUACUUCGUUGAAUCCCCGUCUCUACUAAAAAUACAUUUUGAAAAAAUGUUUCAGGUGUGGUGGCGUGCUCCUNNNNNNNNNNUUUUUUGUAUUUAGUAGAGACGGGGUUUCACCGGGUUAGCAAGGAUGGUUUCGAUCUCCUGACCUCGUGAUCCGCCCGUCUU
rnacentral:SRP_RNA from 1 species